CUCGUGGUCCCCCAAAGUGGCAAACGUCCGUCACUUUAGUCCUUGACGUUAAAAAACACUAACAAACGUUAACAAAUUCCUUUUUUCAAAAUUGAAAAAUCAUUUAAUUAAACUAGAAUAACAAUUGAACUAAAAAUCUAAUUAAUUAAAGCAGAAAAGUGCAAUUAAGAUUCAAAAUAACCUUCUUCAUCAUUUCUUCUCCUCCCCCACCUCCAAUCACCCCAUACCUCUUUCACCCAGAAAUAAUCAACAAUACUAUGCUUCAUGGGCAAUAAUACUAAGCUUUUUAGGCCAUGAAAAGAACAAGAGGAGCAACAAUGUAAGUUACUAAUCUGGUACCUCCACUUAAACCACAACGUGCAAGAAUUCUUCAGCAAACCAAGAGAACAAAAACCCCUAAAUACCAAGUGAUCAAUUUGCACCUCAAAACCUCUCGGCAAAACGGAAAAAGAAUGCACCAAGCUUGACACCAACACCAUAAGACCUGGGAAAAGCAUAAUCAGCAGUUUCAAACUUCUUCAAAACCACAAUCAAAAAUUAGGUUCCACUCUUUCCUUCUUCCACUAAAAUUCAUCUUCUUCCCAACCAGAUCCCAGAUUCAAAAUCCUUUUCUUCACCGUUUCCUUCACCCCAUCUCCACUCAUCCCCCAAUAUCCCGGAAAUAACAAUCUUGAAGAGAAGAGUGUGAGCAGCGACUGACCGCAAUCGUCCUCCGCCACCACCGC
rnacentral:lncRNA from 1 species